AUUGAACGCUGGCGGCAGGCCUAACACAUGCAAGUCGAGCGGAUGAAGGGAGCUUGCUCCUGUAUUCAGCGGCGGACGGGUGAGUAAUGCCUAGGAAUCUGCCUGGUAGUGGGGGAUAACGUCCGGAAACGGGCGCUAAUACCGCAUACGUCCUGAGGGAGAAAGUGGGGGAUCUUCGGACCUCACGCUAUCAGAUGAGCCUAGGUCGGAUUAGCUAGUUGGUGGGGUAAAGGCCUACCAAGGCGACGAUCCGUAACUGGUCUGAGAGGAUGAUCAGUCACACUGGAACUGAGACACGGUCCAGACUCCUACGGGAGGCAGCAGUGGGGAAUAUUGGACAAUGGGCGAAAGCCUGAUCCAGCCAUGCCGCGUGUGUGAAGAAGGUCUUCGGAUUGUAAAGCACUUUAAGUUGGGGGGAAGGGCAGUAAGUUAAUACCUUGCUGUUUUGACGUUACCAACAGAAUAAGCACCGGCUAACUUCGUG
rnacentral:rRNA from 1 species